ensembl:lncRNA NUDT19-DT NUDT19 divergent transcript
GUCAUUCACAGCUGCCUGAAAGGAGGACCGCAGUAUUCCCACGCAGGAAGCUUGGACCAAAAGCAGGAAUGCUUAAGGGCGCAUAUGACUUGCCAUGUACAUGUGGCCGACAAAGAGAAGGGAAGAUGGAGCCGCCAUCUUCAACAGGAGUGGCACAACUGUCGGAUCUAUGUCUGCAGCUGGAUUUUACAGGCUGCUCUUCGUUAGAAAGGAAAACUUUACGGAGGACUUCCAUGCCUUCACUAUCUGCCUAAGUAAAUUCUUCUUAACUCCUG